rnacentral:rRNA from 1 species
AUUGAACGCUGGCGGCAUGCCUUACACAUGCAAGUCGAACGGCAGCACGGGAGCAAUCCUGGUGGCGAGUGGCGAACGGGUGAGUAAUGUAUCGGAACGUGCCCAGUCGUGGGGGAUAACGUAGCGAAAGCUACGCUAAUACCGCAUACGAUCUGUGGAUGAAAGCGGGGGACCGUAAGGCCUCGCGCGAUUGGAGCGGCCGAUAUCAGAUUAGGUAGUUGGUGGGGUAAAGGCCUACCAAGCCGACGAUCUGUAGCUGGUCUGAGAGGACGGCCAGCCACACAGGGACUGAGACACGGCCCAGACUCCUACGGGAGGCAGAAGUGGGGAAUGUUGGACAAUGGGCGCAGGCUUGAUCCAGCAAUGCCGCGUGCAUGAUGAAGGCCUUCGGGUUGUAAACUGCUUUUGUACGGAGCGAAAAGGCUCUCUCUAAUACAGGGGGCUCAUGACGGUACCGUAAGAAUAAGCACCGGCUAACUACGUGCCAGCCGCCGCCGUAA